AGCUAUUAUUAAACAGCUAAUUUGAAUGUGUCUGUGUGCCUCAACAUUCAAUCUGUGUGUGUUUAUGUGUGCCUAGUAGACUAAAUAGCUGCCAGAUCAAACCUGUCAUUCGUCUUUAUAUCUCACAGGAAAGAGGAGGAGAGAUAGAAAGGAGGGAGUCUUCAAGAAGAGGGAAAACAGAAGGAGGUGGAUCGAAACCACUUUCCACUGUAGCAGGAUGAGACAUGAUCUAACAAAAGGUGACUGGGAAUGACUGAGAUUGUGUGUGGGCGACUGAAUCUAAAUGGACUGGAUAUGCUGGCUUUAACAAAUUGGCAGAGAAAGAGAGAGAGAGAAGAGAAAUAGAGAAAGAGAGAGAGAACUGGUUUGUAUGUGAUUAAAAUACAGAAAGAAAUGCCAGCUCAGAUAGGUACAUGUUAAGUGCUCUUAAGUGCUCUUAAGUAGCCUACUUCAACUGUUAUUGUAUAGGCAGGCCCCUCCAGUGCACAUCUAGCUAGUACUGUUAUUUUGAUAUAUUUUUUAAUUCAAAUUUCCAUUCAUUGACAGAGUAGUCCAGGCACAGAAAGAGAUAUACCAGAGUGCAUUAAAUUGUCCUCUGCCUCUAAAAAACCUUUUGUGUAUUAUAUUUGUUUUUAUCUAUAUUGAUCUGUAAUAUGCAUAAAAUGUGUCAUCUGAUAUGAUAAUCCAUUCCAUAUUUUUUAUACAUAAUAUAUACACAUACCUGCUUCUAUUCUACAACUCUUCAAUUAUUCAGACAAUGGAGGUUACAUUUUAUUCAUAUUCCACAUCUUUGGUGCUCUGGUUGUGAGAUAAAUACUCUUGGCUGCUUAAAUAGCCCUGAAGCACAAGGAAAAAAUACUGAUGAGAACCGGGUUAUAUUAGAAAGAGAGAGAGAGAUUUCUUCUUUUCCAAUAUAUGUCCACAUUUCUUCAUUCUCUUUUGAGUCAGUUUCUUGCCUUUUUAUUUAUUUUACCUUUACUUCCAAUAAAUCAAGUUUUCUUUCUCUCAGAGUCUAUUUUAUAUGUGUUCCCUGAUGCUGUCUACACUAUUCUGGCAAACCUUUCACUAUCUCUCAGUACCCUAUUGUGCUUUCUCUGUUUAUCCUCUGUUCCUCUUCUUAUUCUUCUCUAUUUGAAAGAAAAAACUUCAGCAGCCUAAACUGACAGUCUGCUUCAUUUAGUUAUACGCCAUUGACCAAAGACUCUUAAUCAAUCACAGCAUUCACUUGGCACUACAUAAUUACUGUGAGCUAUGCAGUGGGUCUUUGAAGGGUCUUUGAAGUGGGUCUGAAAGGUCAUCCAUUCAUAUCUUUGAAGAAUAUUCACCUGUUUAACUUUGCAAUUGUUCUGCGGGCUUAGUAAAAUUAUUAUACUGGAUAGAUUCAGAUGAUCACACAGUUCUAUAAGUAGCCUUUAUAACCUUAUAAGCAGCCUUUGACUGAUAGUCCUAUUCAUCAGUUAAAGGGGAGAAAUCCUAUUGUGUGAGUGUGAUGUCCAUGUGUCAACUUUCCUUGCCUUAUUCAUUUCAUUUUAAGCCCUUCUAUUGACCGAACUGAUAUGGACAGUAGACAGACAUACUCAUACUCACACAAUAGCAUCAAAGCAUAGUGUAAGAAUGCAUAGUAUUUUUCUACUAGAGCUAUUAUGUAAGCAUCUUCUAGAUGAAAGCAAUUGCAUUGACAAAACAAGUACUCUCCCCCUCAGAAUAUGUUUGUAUUUAUAGUGCACAUCUGUACAUUAUUCUGCUACAUUUUCUAAUGUUCUGAAAUUAUUGCCUGAGGCUAUAGGGCACAAAACAUCCUCCUUCUCAAGUGUGCAAAUGCUAAUUUUCCAGCAUCUCUCUGGCUGUGACCUCAGCUCCGGCAGGAGUCUUAGAGAGGCUUAUGAGCUCAAAACCCAGAAACAUUGUCUUUCCUCUUCGCAUUUUGGAACAACCCUUUUAAAACCUGGAAUUAUCGCUGACGUGGAAACACCUUCCAAUUAGUGAGCAGGUCCCUUGAUUGUCACUUCUUCAUGCUUUCUGUGAAAGAAAACAGCUCAUUUCUAAAGGGGAAAAGUCGGAUCCAUUCCAGAAAAACAAUGUCAAUGUCCUCUUGUCCCAGUAAAAAAGUAAACUCUUGUAAUAACUUUUAGAUAUUUCUGCAGUUCCGUGUUUUACACAAUAUGCAAAUAUCAAUUUCCACUACUGACUAACAUGCUGUUUAUGGUUCGACAUUGCCACAACAUUGACCCAUGUUAACUAUUUUUCAGAAACAAACUUUUCUCUAGUGUAGCACCCACUGAAGCUCACUGAAUUUCUCUGAACAUCAAAAGAAUUCCACCUACAUCACAUAACAUAUUUAAAGAGAUACCAAAAUACACAUAACCAUUAAAAAAAAAAAAACUUAAAAAUGAUAACAUUUUAUGAUAUGACACUGCCAAAUAGCUAAAGAGUAUAGUGAAAAAAAAUCUGCUACAUUAUAAACUAUUUACUGUAUGCACAUACUGAAAGCAACAACAACAUUAAAUACUUAAUGGAUAUUGAGAUUAAUAAGUCAUUCCAGUAUUGCAUCUUGGAACUUAAAAAUGUGAGUAAGUGAGUGAAUGAAUGAAUGAAUUAAUUAAUUCAAAGAAAUGUAAAGGACAGGUUUCAAACAGCUUGGUGAUUUAAAGACAUGCAACAAGUGUAACGUGUUGAACCAUACAGUGUAAGUAAUUUUGCAAUAAAUAUAAUGUUAUGUAGGUUAACUGUAAGUCACUUUACCAUAUCUAACACGUUGCUGUAAAAUAUUGUAAAAAUGUUUUUUAAAAAAAAUUAAUCAAAAUCACCUUAUUUUAAUUCUCAGCCUUUAAAUCACAUUUGUUUUGAGAUAUAUUGGAUUGUUAUGUUGCAUUUUAAGGCGUUUAUUGCAUUAUUUUAAUAUCACGUUUGUUACUAGUGGUAUAUUUUAAUGCUCUGUCUUUAUAUUAGGCUACCUAUUAUUGGUGGUUGCUAACGUUGUUAGAGAGGAAUUUUUUAGUUAUAUAGAUAUAAAUAGGCUGGUA